rnacentral:rRNA from 1 species
UACGAACCGUACGAACGUUAUUCGGAAUCACUGGGCUUAAAGCGUGCGUAGGCGGCUUGGAAAGUUGGGUGUGAAAUCCCUCGGCUCAACCGAGGAAUUGCGCCCAAUACUGCCAGGCUUGAGGGAGGUAGAGGUAAGCGGAACUAAUGGUGGAGCGGUGAAAUGCGUUGAUAUCAUUAGGAACACCUGUGGCGAAAGCAGCUUACUGGGCCUCUUCUGACGCUGAGGCACGAAAGCUAGGGGAGCGAACGGGAUUAGAUACCCCGGUAGUCCUAGCUGUAAACGAUGAGCACUGGAUUGAGGAGACUUCCACAUCUUCUCGGUCGUAGCGAAAGUGUUAAGUGCUCCGCCUGGGGAGUAUGGUCGCAAGGCUGAA